AUCCAACUGAUGAGUCCCAAACAGGACGAAACGCGCGUCCUGAAU
rnacentral:hammerhead_ribozyme from 1 species